ensembl:lncRNA
UUCCUUUCCUUUCACUUUUCCUCGUGGAGGUCACAGUGGCAAUAGAUUGAGAAGGUCAGUCCAGACAUAUCCAUGUCCAGUCACCACAGAUUCCAGCUCCUCCUGGGGUCUCCAUUGAGUAGGACAUGCCUUAUGCAGCUCUAUCAGGACCCAACCAUGGACAUCCAUUGUUUUGACUCGACUCAGGCUCUCCGUCCUCCUGCCUCUUGGAGAUUACUGCAGCAUGCAGUAUGUUAUGACAGUGAUGUAUGUGUUCCCAUGCUUAAGAGUCCUGUGUCCUGCAAGACAGGUACUUGUGGGACCCUGCUACAUGGAACACUCUCAAAUUUGCAAUUUUCCAUAUAAGCACAAACUCUGGAGAACUGAAGGGGAUGUGAG